UGCGAUCUAAAGAGGGUGCCGGCUUCCCCCCGCCUGGCCCAAGCAGGACCUCCAAAGUCCAUGGCCCAUUCGGUUCGGAUGAUGGAAUUCCCAAACCAGAAUAUAUACUGGAUUGAACAAGGAAGAGAUCCCUUUAGAAAGGAGGAAGAAUCACAGAAAUCAGAAAACAUAAUUUGUUCCCCUGCUGAUAGGCAUUUUGAUCCAGUUACUGAGGGGCAGCUGUUUUGGGGUGAGUGUUAACAAAUCAGGGCCCUGACCUUAAGAUGUCACACUCAAGUUUCUUAAUCCUGGGUCUCCGAUCAUGUCUUCCUAUUUGACC
rnacentral:lncRNA from 1 species